rnacentral:misc_RNA from 1 species
GUUUGUGGUGGCAAAUGUUGCUGUCUUCAUUGUUGUCAUGGCCAUCAAUAAUUGUCCCAAGCAUUUUCAUUCUCGGCUCGAAGGGAAGUGCGUUGCAAGGUUUCUUGGGAGAUUCUCUUUUGAGCCCUUGAGAGACAAUCCUCUCUUUGGUCCCUCUUCCGCUACAUUGAAGAUGUUGGGAGCUCUUGAGUGGGAAAAAGUUGUACAUAAGCACCAGGGAUGGAGGCUUGUUACGUGUGUUUGGUUGCAUGCGGGUAUUAUUCAUCUUCUCGCAAACAUGCUGUGCUUGGUCUUCAUUGGUAUUCGCCUCGAGCAGCAAUUUGGGUUUGUCCGCAUUGGUAUUAUUUAUCUGCUUUCUGGAUUUGCUGGGAGCAUUCUUUCCUCUCUAUUUAUUAGAAACAGCAUCUCUGUUGGUGCCUCUGGUGC